GAACGAGUGCAAUCGGUUUUAUUGUCCAAUCAGGAUGCUGACGCUGUGGAGGCUCGCAAGACAAGUGAGCCAAUGACAAUGCGUGAAUUAACACAGGGGUGUGGCCAACGUGGGCGCGCUAAUGCUGUGAUUUAGUGCAUGUCAUACAAGCUACAGCACAGAGGGGGGGACUCAGAAUCACGAGUUUGCGCAUCACCCGAACCGGUUCAGACCGGGUGCUGGGAGGUUUGGUGAAUACUAACGCCUCUGUCUCCAUGUUGUGAUGCUGAAACAAUUCUGAAAAUGGAUGAUGAAGUUCUGGACUGGACAGGCACACAAGUGGAACUGCAGAAUGAAUAGACCAAUGUAAGAACCAAGCCAGGUCAGUUGUACCAAAACCAAUCACAAGACAGACAAACACAUCUUUCUCGCCUUUGUUCAAUAGCACUACCCUCUUCCAGCUGAAUCACAUCCAUCAUGGACAAAACAGCCUGGCCAGCUCCACUGACCAAUCAGACUUCCGAGGAGGAACGCAUUCAUCCUUCAAUGUGAGCACAGCAAGACGCUGCUGAAUGGAAUGAUGAUAUUUGUUACAUUCAAGUUCUGCAAAAUAGACUAACAACUGUGAAUCACUGAGAUGCCCUGAUUAGACUUUUGUUGUAAAUGUUGUAAGAUACACAAGACACUUUUUAAAAGUGUGUGUGCCUUUUGAAGUGAAUUUGAUUGUAAGACAUGAAAUGAAAGGUCAUGCCCCUUUAAUUGUGCUUCAUAAAGCCGUAAAGCUCAUGGCUGCAAUCAAUGUUAGAUGUUACUUUAUCCCUAGGGUUACCCUAAGGGGAUUGUUAUGGUUUUAUCCUAGACUAGUCAAUAAACAGUUUUAGUCAACAUGAAGUUUAUAAUAAUUGAUUAAUAGUUUUAAGUCAUACAAAUUGUGGAAUGAUCAUUUUGGUGCAUGUCAAAUAGUGAGCUAAUAUGUCACUGUAUAAUAACAGCAAUAAUGGAUUACAUUGCAUCAAAACCACACUAUUUGAACCAAUGAGUUAAAGAUUAAGUGUUAAAGAUUUAUAAUCUACAUAUGAACUAAAUCAUUUUUGUUUCUUUUGUGAGAAACCCCAAUAUGUGUUGUUGUAACAAUUCAGUUAUAUACAUUUUUGUUGUUGAUUUGAUUUAGAUUUGACUGUUUUUCUUUUGUGAUUCAUAGAAGACUAUCAUGGGCGGGUUCCACCAGAUGUCAUAUCUUACUAUCUUAAUUAUUUUGGUGAAAUGGGUGAUGAACUAAUAGUGACUAAACAGGUCUUGGAAAAGAGUCUGUAAAAAUGUCUUAUACAGAAAUAAUAAUUAUUAGUCUAGAGCGCCAUCUACUGACAUAAUACUGUAUUGUACAACAAAGGCAGCCUUGUCUGAACGUUAUUCUGUACCCACUAGGGUUGGGGUCAAUUUCUAACUGUAUUUGAAUGACUGUAAACCAGUGGCCCUAAAGGUGGCUGUUAUGAAACAUAUGUAAAGACAUUGCGGUUUAAAUGAAGGAGGGCUAGGCCCUACACCUGUACCUGGCAACAAAGUCUACUCAAAAUUAAACACUUUUGGCUAAAAACAAUCUAGAAUCGUGGAAAGCUCUGCGUUAAGGUAUAAUAUAGAUAAACACAUGUUUUUUCCCUAGUCUUCCGCCAUUUGUAUUUGUUUCCUGUUCAAACAAUGCCACGGUGUGUUUCGUUCAAGAACUUCAAUUGACUUUCAAUGAUUUUUCCCUCCCUCCCUCCAUUUCUUUAUUUUUAUUUAAUUAAAUGUGUUAUGUGUAUGAGGUUGAGA